UACGUAGGGGGCAAGCGUUGUCCGGAAUCAUUGGGCGUAAAGAGCGUGUAGGCGGUCCGGUAAGUCGGCUGUGAAAGUCCAGGGCUCAACCCUGGGAUGCCGGUCGAUACUGCCGGACUAGAGUUCGGAAGAGGCGAGUGGAAUUCCCGGUGUAGCGGUGAAAUGCGCAGAUAUCAGGAGGAACACCAAUUGCGAAGGCAGCUCGCUGGGACGUUACUGACGCUGAGACGCGAAAGCGUGGGGAGCAAACAGG
rnacentral:rRNA from 1 species